rnacentral:rRNA from 1 species
UGAGGAAUUUUGGGCAAUGGGCGAAAGCCUGACCCAGCGACGCCGCGUGGGUGAUGAAGGCCUUCGGGUCGUAAAACCCUGUGAGAUGGGAAGAAGCCGUUGCGUGCUAAUACCACGUCGCGGUGACAGUACCAUCAGAGGAAGCCCCGGCUAACUACGUGCCAGCAGCCGCGGUAAAACGUAGGGGGCUAGCGUUGUUCGGAAUUACUGGGCGUAAAGCGCGUGUAGGCGGCUUGGCAAGUCGGAAGUGAAAGCCCCAGGCGCAACUUGGGAAUUGCUUUCGAAACUGCCUAGCUUGAGUGCGGGAGGGGAGAGCGGAAUUCCAGGUGUAGCGGUGAAAUGCGUAGAUAUCUGGAGGAACACCGGUGGCGAAGGCGGCUCUCUGGACCGUAACUGACGCUGAGACGCGAAAGCGUGGGUAGCAAACA